rnacentral:rRNA from 1 species
GAUGAACGCUGGCGGCGUGCCUAACACAUGCAAGUCGAACGGCCCCUUCGGGGGCAGUGGCAAACGGGUGCGUAACACGUAGGCAUCUACCGCAUAGCUGGGGACAACGAUUGGAAACGGUCGCUAAUACCCGAUGUGCUCUGAGGAGCAAAGACGCAAGUCACUAUGCGAGGAGCCUGCGGCCUAUCAGGUAGUUGGUGAGGUAAUGGCUCACCAAGCCGACGACGGGUAGGGGGUGUGAGAGCAUGACCCCCCACACGGGGACUGAGACACGGCCCCGACUCCUACGGGAGGCAGCAGUGAGGGAUAUUGGGCAAUGGGCGCAAGCCUGACCCAGCGACGCCGCGUGGAGGAGAAGGGCUUCGGCUCGUAAACUCCUUUUCCCAGGGACGAGAAACAGGACGGUACCUGGGGAAUAAGUCUCGGCCAACUACGUGC